UCCGGCCCGAACGAGGAUUUGCACGAAAACAUCAACCGCAGACUGCGUAUCAGUACCAGAGGGGGAGCAGCUUUACGACGAACAGGACCCGACGCUAUUCAUCCAGCGGCAUGACAACCACGUCGAUGGCUUUUCCGAAGUUUGAUAACGUUCCGGUGGCCCUGAAGCGAGACGUUAGAAGCGCGAAAAAGAUUUAACGGCAAUGACCGCGCUAUCACUUGUUUGAUAGAAAGACAGAGAGGGGGGGCCGAAGUGGACUCCCUUCCCCUCAGUGAAGAGCCGUUCCGCCCGAUGGAGACUGUGACGGGACCUCUGCAGCGAGCUCGAGGCCCGGAGCGUCACCUGUGAGACGUCGACACCUCGCCGGAGGACGUAAUUAAGAGAGACACGCGAACAUCUGUCCGCACUUUCGACGACUUUAUUUGACAAGUUCUGCCAAAGCCUGCACGCUAAAACUAAAGUUAGCAGCUCGGCGUUAGCUGCAGGAGGCGACCCCGCGCGCAAGAUGACCAAUAUAGAUAUCACUUAACGAGGGGUUACGCACUGCCUCAGGUAACCUCGGGACAGGUGAACUGCGCACUGUUAAAUGGCUUUGUUCUAGAAAGCAUACAUCAGCAACUUGCCUCAGUCUUUGCUGUGAGAACUGAUUUUUUCCCCCCUCAAACACGGACUUUUAAAAUAAGUCUUUUUUUUUCUCAUCGAGUGUCGCUCCCUCAAUCAACCAUGUCACUCAAAGACAAUCCCUGUCGGAAAUUUCAAGCCAACAUUUUCAACAAAAGUAAAUGCCAGAACUGCUUUAAGCCCAGAGAGUCGCAUCUGCUCAACGACGAAGACUUAAACCAGGCAAAACCUAUAUAUGCAGGAUGGCUGCUCCUGGCACCGGAGGGAACAAAUUUUGACAAUCCCUUACACAGAUCUCGGAAAUGGCAGAGGAGGUUCUUUAUCCUCUACGAGCACGGCUUACUUCGCUAUGCUCUGGAUGAAAUGCCCAGCACGCUUCCCCAGGGUACAAUCAAUAUGAACCAGUGUUCUGACGUCAUCGACGGCGAGUCCAGGACAGGUCAGAAGAACUCGCUGUGCAUCCUGACCCCAGAGAAGGAGUACUUCAUACGGGCCGAGUGUAAAGAAAUCAUCAAUGGGUGGCAGGAGGCUCUGACUGUGUACCCCAGGACAAACAAACAGAACCAGAAGAAAAAACGCAAGGUCGAUCCACCCACUCACCAGUCUCUCUGUGACCUUACCUGCCAAUAUAUCCUUUCCUCUCCCCACCCACUCCUUCCAACCCCAACCAUUACCCAGGAGCCCGGCCCGGCUAAGGUAACAGUGACCAGCAGCAGCAGCGGGGGCAGCAUCCCAUGCCUACCCAGCAGUAUCGCUAGCGCCGAGCGGGUGCCGAUGACCCGCGCCACUCUGUGGCAGGAAGAGCCCCGCUGGAGCAGGGCCACCAUCCCCUGCAGCCGCAGUGCCUCCUGUCUCAGCCAGCUGGGCCACAGUCAGCCAGACUCCAGUAUCACUACUCAAGAUGAUGGUGGCACUGUGAGCAGUGGACGUAAGGUACGAGUUGAGAGUGGGUACUUCUCCCUGGAGAAGACCAAGUCGGAGCCUUCUCCACAGUCUGCACAUCACUCACAGCCACCCCAGCAUCUGCCCCUCUCCUCUUCAGCAUCUUCCUCCUCUUUAGGAGCUCCCAGUUCCAGGUACAACUCUGAAUCAGAACCCCAGACUUCCCCUCAUCAACCCUCCCAAGACCCUCUCCCCUCUCCAGGUUCACUUGUCUCCCCAAGCUACUCCACCAUCAGCUCUUCUCAGAGCUCUCUGGACUCUGAUCCCAGUGGAGCUACAUCCACUUGGGAGGGGCACAAUGGUGGCGGGGGCGGCCGAGUCGGCCGUUCCGGCAGGGAGUACGCAGCACUGGCAGAUGUGCCUCGGGCCCGCAGACUGAGCUACCGAGAAGCUUUCCGCUCAGAGAAGAAGCGCCAAGACCUGAGGGCGCGGACACGGAGCCCCGGGAGAGAGGAGGUGGCUCGGCUGUUUGGGGAGGAGCGCAGGCGAUCUCAAAUCAUUGAGCGGUUCGAGGAUGGUCAGCAUGUUGAGCGCAUGGAGACAAACGGCUCUGAUCCUUCUGCUAACUCCGUGCUGAUCCAGAGACAGGGACGCAGCGAGAGACGUUAUUUGGCUAAUAAACAUGAGAUGUCACUAGAUUCAGCAAAGGACCGUUCAGUUCCUGAUGUAUCUAGCUCCACUUUGGCCAACUUAAGAAGGGCCAAAUCAUUGGACCGCAGAGUAACUGAGUCCUCGAUGACUCCCGAUCUGCUGAACUUUAAAAAAGGAUGGAUGACAAAGCUAUAUGAAGAUGGAGUGUGGAAGAAGCACUGGUUUGUCCUGACAGAUCAGACUUUGAGGUACUAUAAGGAUUCAAUAGCUGAGGAGGCUUCAGAAAUGGACGGCGAGAUUGACCUUUCUACGUGCUACGAUGUCAAAGAGUUUCCAGUUCAAAGGAAUUACGGUUUCCAAAUCCUGUGUAAAGAAGGAGCGUGCACCCUGUCAGCGAUGACCUCUGGAAUCCGUCGUAACUGGAUUCAGGCGAUCAUGAAGAACGUGCGACCCACUAUCGCCCCCGAUGUCACCCGGAAAAACAUCCCUCUGAAACUAUCGGUUCUGAAGCCCAGAUCUCUCCCUGAUGAGAAGAUAAAAUCUCAGGUGAUGUUGGACCCAUGCCUACAGGUCACCCCUGAUCCAAGCCAUAGUCCAGAAAUCCCCAAGUCUGAUGGGCAGAGGCAGCCACCUGGUAACAAUGCCUCUGCCCCUGCCUCUGAGCCACGCAAAAGCAGAGUUCGUGAGCGCAGACGAGAGGGCCGCUCAAAAACUUUCGACUGGACUGAGUUCAAAAUGGAACAGAAGGAAAAGCCCGUAAAAGAACGAGCAGACACAGUUGACCUCAGCUCAUCGUUCUCCACAACCUCCUCCUACUGUUCUGCCUCCUCUUCUCCCUCCUCCUUGGCGUCAUCUCCGGUCUCUUCUUCCUCCCUCCAAACCUCAUCUGCAUCAGCUGCUCACCCACCUUCAAUUACAGAAGAAGCAGAAAAGGAGAACGUUAAUGGGGGAACUAGCAGUACAGCUCGCACACCAAAUACUGUUACUGUAACUGUGAUUUCAACGCUAAAUGCUACAUCACCAGUACAGCAACCAACACCUGGAAUCCAAGAGCAAGGAAAGAUGGAAGUGGAUCACCCUGCUGCCAUUAGUCCAGCCAGUGAAGACAAAGGCAGCAGAAGCUCAGAUGUUCAGGAUGAGAUUGAGCAGCGAUGGCAUCAAGUGGAGACAACACCAUUAAGGGAAGAGAAGCAAGUACCGAUCAACACUGCCUUAGGAAACUCUGAGAGACUGCCAGCGCAUGAGCUUGCUGCUCUACUAGACAAAGAGUUGGGACAGAAGCAGAAGGAGCUGGACCAACUGCAGAAGCAGAACAACCUCUUAAAGGAGCAACUGGAAAAUGCGCUAGUGAGAGAGCAAAGUGCCAGAGAGGGCUAUGUACUGCAGAGCGCAACACCUCCUACAUCUUCACCGCACAGAGUGCCAUGGCAACACUUGCACAGGCUUAAUCAAGAUUUACAGGGUGAACUGGAGUCCCAGAAGCGCAAGCAGGACCUUGCACAGCAACAGAUCCGGACAUUGAAGAGGAGCUACACCGAAGCCCAGGAUGCUGUAGAGCGCCACGAGUCCGAUAUUCAGGCUUUGCAGUCUAAACUUGCAUCUGCAAUGGCGGAAAUUUUAGCAAGUGAACAGGCUGUGGUCCGGAUGCGGAAUGAGCUCAGGCUAGAGCAGGAGCGCUCAAAAGAACACGAAGAAGAAUACAGUCAUAGUGAGGCUACCCUACGAGCCCAGCUGAAGGACAGUGAAGACAGACUCCGUGAAGUAGAAGCCAACCUCCUGGAGAGAAACCAGGCCCUCAGGCAGCUGGAGCGCCAGCAGGCACUGCAGCGAGACCACGUGAGGGAGAUACAGAGGUUGCAGGAGAAGCUGCAAGAAGUGACUGCUCGACUAACUGCUACAGAAGAGGGUCAGGCACUGAAAGAAGAGCGCCUUAAGCAGGAACAGCAUAGCAUGCAAGAGAGUCAUGAAAGAGAGAGACAGAAUCUGUGCAAAAAAUUAGCUGAAGCUGAAACUGCACACAAGGAAGUAGAGGACAGGCUGUUCGAGGCUGAGCAGCAGGUAGAGGCCUUGUUAAGGGGUAGGCGGGCCUCAGGAGGUACAGAAUGCAAGCAGGAAAUGCUGAAGUUGCAAGAAGAGCUGGCUCAAAAGGCUGACAUGGUUGAGUCACUGAAGGAAAGUGUCCGUAGACUAGAAGAAGAAAAAGGACAUCUUACGUGUCGUUGUCAGGAACUCAUCAACCAGAUUGCUGAAGCAGACCGUGAAGUGAACAAGCUUCGCACUCGCCUGGAAACAGAAGAAGCAGAUUACUACACCUUGGAGCAUUCAUAUGAGAGGGCUACCCAAGAGUUUCAGAAAAUGAGCCAGUUCCUUAGAGAAAAAGAGGAGGAGAUCCGGCAGACUAAGGAGAUGUACGAGAGACUGAUGGAACGCAAGGAGGAGGACCUAAAAGAAGCACUUAUUAAAAUGACUGCACUUGGCAACAGCUUAGAGGAAACUGAGCUGAAGCUGCAAGCCAAGGAGGAGCUUCUCUGUCAAAUGACUCAAAGCCUCUUGGACAAAGUUGAGCCUUGUAAUGCUGAGAAGGAUCUGCAAGCCAAGCUUGUGGUUGCAGAGGACCGCAUUGCAGAGCUGGAGCAGCACCUCAAUGCCCUACAGCUGGGGUAUGCUAAUCUACACAUGGAAAGGCAGCAAAUCCCAGAACAGAGUGAGGAGGAAAGAACAUCACCCUCCUCGUUAUCAAACGCAGAGCUUUCUUUAGACAAUACAUCCACAACAGAGAGCUCCCCAGACGAUAAGGAGUCUCAAGCUAAGAGACCAAGGAUACGUUUUUCUAGUAUUCAGUGUCAAAAAUAUGUCAAUUUCGAGGUCCUGGACACUAGCCAAAAAAUGAAUCAGAAUGUAGCUGAAGACAUUGAGUUAACUGAAGGAACAGCUACUCCUGACUUCACAGCCCCACAUGCUAAUGACCCAGAGAAGUUUAUCUCUAUCAUACAUGCUCUUGAAACGAAACUGCUCGCCACAGAAGAUAAGCUAAGAAACCUAACACAAAAUCUGGAUAGGCAACGAUCCACCCAAGCAGAGGACUUGUCCGAUAUGGAUUUAAAGAUCGGCGAAAAGGAUUCUUGCCCAGAGAAAGAAACUAGUGAUGCAAGUGGUAUACAGAGUAGUGCUGGCAUUAAGCAUUGUACCAAUGCCCUUGUAUGUGUGGAAAAUGGUCGAGAGAAAGUUAGGGCUAUUCUCAGUGGCUCACAUGAAACAGAUACACAGCUGCACUCAUUGUGUGAGAUAGAGAAGGAUUUGUUCAAUGCAUCGCUGUACCUUCAACAGGGACAAAAGAUGUUGGAAGAGCAAUCACCAGCUUUCCAUCCAAAUCAAACCCCAGAGACUGUAGAUAAAGAGGCAAUGCACCUCUUUGCCAAAACUUUGUCCUUUGAGGCGAUGGUUUUGAACAAGAUGGCUUUGUUAAUACAAAUGUCAAAGUCUGACCUCCUGCAGGCUCUUACUGAGAUCUGGGAGGACAUUGAGCACAUUAAAAGGAGUGACAAAGAUUGCUUGGCUGUAGUUUAUGCCGAUGUCUUGACCAGGAAGCUGAUUUUAGAAAGUGGGUUCUGGAAAGAACUUGAGAAAGCAGAGACGGAUGUUGCUAAAUCCAAAGAGGGUGGUGUAUUAGAUGAUGUAGAUGUUGAUGCCAAAGUUGCCUUCAACAACUUCAUUAAAGCAGAAUUAGCCUACUCAAUUCAAAAUCUUAAGCUUUGCUAUGAGGAAAAAUUCAGAAUACUUAAAAGGGAGCUAGCUGUAGCUCAUAAAAACCUCUAUGAAAGGGAAAUGGCUUUGAAAGCAAUUAUUGAAGCUUCUAAAAGGCCUGAUUUGAAAACUGUCAUAAAAGAAGUCAAAAACAACUUUGGAUUCAACAAACGAAAGCUGGCGGACAUUCACCCUCCCGAGCUUGCUCCGUACAUGGAGCAGAUCGAAAUAGAAGAAGCUAGAGACUUGGCUGAGGAAAUCGUAGACAGACACUUGGCUGGUGAAAUGCCCUCUUGUGGCAUUGACUCUGUUGAAUCACUGCAAAAUGCUCAUGAAAGCCUGGCUAAUGAACUUCAAAGACAAGCAGCGAUCCUCCACAAGUAUGCCCAAGAACUAGAAAGUGGCGAAAGCAAUCCCGGACUGUCUAAAAUGAUCCGAUCUCUUCUAGGACACCAAACCUCACAUUUUUUCACAAGUACCUCUCUUUGUAUGCGUGAAGCCCUCACCCAGGCUCAAGUGGCAUAUGUGGCAUGUAGGUUACGGGCCAUGCAUGAACAAGAUUUGGGCUAUUGUAAACAGACCAGUCAAACUAUGGAUGAUCUCGUGCAGCAGCAUGCACGCAGUGUCACAGCAAUCCAAGAAAAAUAUGAAGAGUCUUUACAAGAGGAGCGCCGUAACUUCAAGCAAAUGGUGGAAUCUCUCCAGAAGGAAAAUCAGACUCUUAAGAGUGAGAUCAGCAAACGUGUGAAUCAGCUCUCACAGCAGCAGCAGCAAGUGGUCUUCUUAGAGAAAGAGUUUCAGAAAGAGACGGAAGACCUGAAGCAGAAGCAUCAAAGGGAGCUGAGCCGAGCAGAACAAGGCUGUGCCUCAACAGAGCUGGCCCUCAUGGAAACAGCAGCUGACAGUCAACGAAAGUUAGAGGUUCUGCUAGCAGACAUGGACACAAUGGAGGAGAGGCACGAGAGUCAUGUGAGGAAACUUGAGGAGCAGUUUGAAAUGAGGGUUUGCGAGCUCCAGCAUAUCCACAAGGACAACAUUGAAAAGUUACGUUCAGAGUAUGUGGAGAACAUUCAGAGUCUCAAAGAUCACCAACCUUACGAUCAAAACCCUGAGGUCUCACAGCCACCUCCUUAUGAGGAGGCUGCUACGCCAAUGGAAGAGGAAGAGCAGGGAAAAGGGGAUGAUGUACAGCACAUAUCAGAGGUCGACUCCAUGGUGGUUCUGAAAGACCGCAUUCAAGAACUGGAGACUCAGAUGAAUAAUAUGAGGGACGAACUGGAGAACAAACACCUUGAAGGAGAUGUGGCCAGCCUGAGAGAGAAAUACCAGAGAGACUUUGAAAGCCUCAAGGCCACAUGUGAGCGUGGCUUUGCCGCAAUGGAGGAGACACACCAGAAGGUGAUCGAAGACCUCCAGAGGCAGCAUCAGAGGGAGAUUUCCAAACUCAUGGAAGAGCGAGAGAGACUAUUGGCUGAGGAGACGGCUGCCACGAUUGCUGCUAUUGAAGCUAUGAAGAAUGCGCACAAGGAGGAACUGGAAAAAACCCAGCGCUCCCAAAUAAGUGGACUGAACUCUGACAUCGAUGAACUACGCUUACAAUACGAGGAGGAGCUGCAGUCCAUCCAGAGAGAACUGGAGGUGCUGUCAGAGCAGUACUCUCAGAAAUGUCUGGAGAACGCUCACCUGGCUCAGGCGCUGGAGGCCGAGAGGCAGGCCCUCAGGCAGUGUCAGAGAGAGAACCAGGAGCUAAAUGCACACAACCAGGAAUUAAAUAACCGGCUGACUGUAGAGAUCACUCGGAUGCGCUCCUGUUUUAGUGGGGAAACCGCUCACUCGUCGCUUUCCCAGGGCAAAGAUGUGUAUGAACUGGAGGUAUUGUUACGAAUAAAGGAGUCGGAGAUCCAGUAUCUCAAACAAGAAAUCCACUCUCUGAAAGACGAGCUACAGUCUGCUUUAAGGGACAAGAAAUAUGCCACAGACAAAUAUAAGGACAUCUACACAGAACUCAGCAUUGUAAAAGCAAAAGCAGACUGCGACAUCAGCAAACUGAAGGAGAAGUUGCUCAUUGCCACAGAAGCUUUAGGUGAGAGGACUGUCGAUGGAACAGUUACAUCUGGAUAUGAUAUCAUGAAGUCCAAAAGUAACCCAGAUUUCAUGAAAAAAGAACAGUCGGCGAGCUCCAGGCAUUCACGAGGUUUAAGGUCAAAGUCUGUCACCGAGCAGGUCUCAUGGGAUAGCUGACACUCCCAUUGUGGGGUGAUCCCCUCCCAACCCCCGCCCCAACAUAUGCUAGCCUGAAAGAGGGACUCACUGUGCAGGAGCGCAUGAAGCUUUUUGAGGCAAAAGAUUCCAGAAAGAUUUAACCUGAAACGUUUUUUGCUUUUUUGUUUUUUUUUCCUCUUACCUGCCCUCUGUUUUUCUUUGUUUUGUUUUUUUUUUUUACCCCUGCCGUGCCAUCAUGGGCUGAAGAUGUUGGGGUGGCAUCGGAGAUCAAGGACUUUAAUCUAUCUGUUCUAAACCUCUUUCACGUUUUAGCUCGAUCUUGUCUCUUAUUUUAAUUCUUAAAGUACAUACACUUACGAUCAGGCCGAGUUGGAGUCGUGUCAAAAGCGCUGUGAGAGAGAUUAGAUUACAGCUUUUCUGUUGAUCCUCCAAAAUGCCAAAACUGACAGCAAUACACAAUAUGAAUAAUAUAUAAAUAUAAAUAUAUCCCAAUAUUGAAUUAAGUAUCUGCUGUAUUUUAUUAUUGUAAUAGUGUCUAUAUCUAAUAAUUUUUAAUGUGCUUAAUGUUGCACCAGUUCUCCUGUACAUAACUACUGGACACAUGUAGAAUAUGGUUUGCUAUUGAUUGUUGGGGCAUCUGCUGUACUAUUUGAUUGAUAUUGCAAAACAAUGUGAUGCUUACCUUGAUAUGAUGUAUGAGUGUUUUAUAAAACGGUGUGUCUGCGUGUGGAAGUGUGGGGGGGAGGUGAGAUUGCACUUACCUUUUGACUACUUGAGGAGGCUUGUUUUUAUUCGUCUCAGAAUCGGUGUAGUGACUUCCAGUCGAUUUAUUGCAGUGCAACCAAACAUGCUGACUCGCGUCACAUUAGGUGACCAGCCGUGAUUUGUUAGCGAUACUGGAAUUUAUUUCUAAUUUCUUAAAUUCCAACUUUGUUUGCUUCAGUGUGAGAAUUAUCAUCUCCUUAAACCUGAACCUGUUUUUUGGAUUUGCAUGAUCACGUUGCCUCCUUUUCCUACUCUUUGCUUUAGUGUGGCGCUCUAGACAAUUAUAAGCUUUGCUUUGCAAGUCCUACUGUUGAGAUGCUGAGAUUGAGAUGUUUUACUGUAAGCGGCAGUCUUGAAGCACUUGGCCCAGUCCCUGACCUCUUACUGAAAUCUAGUCGUGCCUCAACUGAGUGAAGAAUAUAGACAUCCAUGAAACCUGUGCAGCUAUGGAUACACACUGUAUAGUAUUCAAACCACGCCUUGUGUAUAUAAAUAUAUGCCACACGGAAGACUUCUGUGUUUUGUUUUAAAACUUGUACCUUGCUCUCUAGCUCUAUAAGAAAUAUAUAUGAAUAUUUUUUAUUUUCAUUUGAAUGUAUAACGUCAAAUAAA